GGAAUAUGAACAAAUAAUUAAGAAAAAUAAGAAUACAAGAAUUUUUAACGAGGUUCGGCAAUGUACCUACGUCAUCGGGAGCGAUGAGCGGCUGUAUUAUAUUAUUAAUUCUCUAACUAGGUUAUAAAUACAAAAGAUAUAUAUAACCCUUGGCAUAAUUACAAAAAUACCAUAUAUUGUAUCGUACCACGGGAUCGUUGCCCCCGCACCCCCAACCUACUUAGACCGUAGCCCGCAGAGUAACUAUGAAAUUUCCUCAUUGGACAGAUGUUGUUGCUCCGCUCUGUUCGCUCGUUGCACUGCGCUCCACUUCGCUCUAGCAUCUGUCCCUUAAACUGGUAUAUGAGCCAUACCUAACAGAUAGUUACAUAACUUGAAACUGAUUGGAUUGGAUUGGUAAAGAAUUCAAAAAUUUUUGUUCCUACAUCCAGAUUUUGUCUGACAAGAUGUGAACAAAAUUUUUUUUCUACUUCCUGAUAUUAUGAAACACGUAUUCUGUUAGGAAGAAAUUCAUAUCAGUUUCCUGAUAGAAACAUCGCAAGAGAAGUGAUAUCCAUGAACAAAAAACUGAAAGCAAGAUAUUUUCCAUAACCAAACACAUGGUGGUCUCGUGGGAAUGCAGUAUUUGUCUCGUCUCCGAACUCCAUCUGAUGCAGCAGAAGCAUACAAGAAUCUAGAAAGAGUUUGUCUUGUUGGCUUCAGGAUCAUCCAAGCAUUAAAUUGAGAGUGAUAGACCACCAAAUAGGAAUCACAAAAUGAAAGUUCCACGACUUCAUCUCUGCACUAAGACACUUCAGUUCAGCAUUCUCCUUCUCUUUCCACUGCAUGUGAAUUUGAUUAGUCAGCCAGUCAGUAUCAACAUAAGCACAUGCAGUCCAUAAUACCAACAAGGCUGCAAUUCUCAGCUAAAUUGGAUUUCCUUCUACUGCACUUCCCUUUCAUUGAACAAACAAGAAUCCAUGCUUAAAAAGGCAUAGAAUAAGAAUUCUUGAAAGUUAGUUUCGAUGGGUAUAAUCCAAAUUAGUUGAGGGUCGAAUAUGGAUUAUUAAG
rnacentral:lncRNA from 1 species